GAUGAACGCUGGCGGCGUGCCUAAUACAUGCAAGUCGAGCGAACAGACGAGGAGCUUGCUCCUCUGACGUUAGCGGCGGACGGGUGAGUAACACGUGGAUAACCUACCUAUAAGACUGGGAUAACUUCGGGAAACCGGAGCUAAUACCGGAUAAUAUAUUGAACCGCAUGGUUCAAUAGUGAAAGACGGUUUUGCUGUCACUUAUAGAUGGAUCCGCGCCGCAUUAGCUAGUUGGUAAGGUAACGGCUUACCAAGGCGACGAUGCGUAGCCGACCUGAGAGGGUGAUCGGCCACACUGGAACUGAGACACGGUCCAGACUCCUACGGGAGGCAGCAGUAGGGAAUCUUCCGCAAUGGGCGAAAGCCUGACGGAGCAACGCCGCAUGAGUGAUGAAGGUCUUCGGAUCGUAAAACUCUGUUAUUAGGGAAGAACAAAUGUGUAAGUAACUAUGCACGUCUUGACGGGACCUAAUCAGAAAGCCACGGCUAACUACG
rnacentral:rRNA from 1 species